rfam:Jaapia argillacea MTCL 33604 unplaced genomic scaffold JAAARscaffold_16, whole genome shotgun sequence.
UCUCUUGUGCUCGGGCAUGUACUGUCGCCAGUGAGGUCUUUACCGAGGCACAGUCUUUUGCUGAUUGCAAAUUACACAUCCGAACACGUCCCUUAGCUUCGGCUUUGUGGCAAUUUUUGGAAGACUAAACUUGA